rnacentral:lncRNA from 1 species
CGAUUGCUAAUUCUAAUGAGGCUAACGGGAAAGAAUCAUUGAAGCUGGCCAAAUUGCUGAUUACACCUUUCACUUUUGUGGCUUCCACAUGACUCCAGUCGGGAAUCUCCCUCAUCAGAGAGAAUGCAACGCCCGCAGAGAAGGGGCGUUCCUUCCACCUCUUUAUGGCUGCAACCAUCUCCGUAUUUGGAUUGGCAGGGUGUAUGAUAGCAAUUGUUGAUAACAAGGAAAGAAAAGCUCAGGAGCUCGACAAUCUCACGUCCUCUCUUUGGGUGAUCUUCUUUGCGAGCUUGUCUACGAUGCUGUUGUCGCUCCUCUACAGCCUCCUGUAUGUUGUCUACGACAUCAGCGAAACGAAGGCAUCGUGGUCAAUAAUGGGUGCGUAUUUAGUUUUGGUCGUUGUAGUCUUCACUGGUUCCUACGUGAAAAAGCUGUUCCAAAGGAUGAGGAUUCCUCUGAGAGGCACUCCUGUCAUUUAAUUUAUCAUCAGUGCUGCUAAUGAGUAUGGGUACACUUUAUAUAAAUAAAAGACUUAAUUUUAUAACGUGAUAGAUUUACAAUUUCCUUUGUUACAGAGAUUGUUUUUGUUUACUUGCUCGUUUCUCUCGCAGUGCCGUGGCUCCUUCAAACCUUAUGGUGCUUCCGACAAUGCCGAAAAGAGCUUAAGAGGGGGCUGCCAAUGUCUUCAUUGACCGCAUGGAUAAGAAAAUGGAGGACGAUGAUGUCGCUAAUGCUCAUCCAUUUCUUAGAUACAUAGAAAAAUAGUGGCAUGAAUCUUGGGAGAUUUUGAUGAGGGGGUUUAAAGGUUUUAGCAGCUGCUCGUGGGCAAUGCAGCAACACCAGGAGUGGGCGGGGCUCCAGUCGUGGAGGUCCCCGGCGGCGCCACCCAAUGAGCGGCGCCGCUGGGGGGAUGCCGGCCCUGAGAUGGUGGCGACUCCCUUAGAUCACGCUGGUUCUUUCUCUCCUCCCCCUCGCAGCCUCGCGGAAUGGGGCGCCUUGAUCCUCGCCACCCCUCGUCCACUCUCCAAAUCCCACUUGACGCACCACGCUUACAAGCUUUGGUGCAGUGGUGCUCUUCCGAUUGGUGUAGCGGUCGCCAUGGAUUCUCCCGCAAGGCCAGAGAAGCCUCAGCUGGUAAGAUUCUUCUUCUUUUCUCUCGAAGUUCUAGACAUUCGUUUGUUCUUGCUGUGCCUAUAGGUGCAUCCAAGGAGAGUUCCAACAGCCAAAGUUCUGGGGAUAUCUCCCAGCGUUCAUAUGAUCCAUAACUUGGCACACAUCGAGCUCAACGCCGUGGAUCUUGCAUGGGACACUGUGGUGCGCUUCUCGGCGUCGGGUGGCGAGCUCGAUUCGCAGUUUUUCGCGGAUUUUGCUCACGUUGCGGACGACGAGAGCCGGCAUUUCUGCUGGUGCGAGCAGCGAUUGAAGGAGCUUGGUUCCAGGUAUUUAGAAACUUGUAGUUUUCUCUUCAUUUAUCGUUUCUUUACCAUAGUUACGGAGAUGUUCCGGCGCACAAUUUGCUCUGGAAGGAUUGCCAGAAAACUUCUGGAAGCGUGGAUGCUCGUCUCGCAGUUAUUCCAAUGGUCCAGGUGCCUAUACGCUUCCACUUGAAGAGCUAAGAACUAUUCUACCAAGCAACGAAAGUAGAAAUAGAAGGAAUGGCAAAACGGGGAUCAACCAAAACGAGUUCUACGUUCUUCCCAAAGACAACACUGGUAGACCCGGAUCAAUGCAGAUAUUCGCAGCCCCAUUCUUGCCAAUCUCAGGGCGGACAUGACACUCGCGGGCUUCGAUGGUUUCAGGAUCCAGAGGUCGGACCAGAGCGUUCCCUUUUUGGGCGAUGGAAGCGACGACAGCAAGCUCCCUUCCGGGACCCUCUGUGUUCUCAGCCACAAAGAGAAGGAGAUCAUGAACGCUUUGGACGGUGCCGGAGUCCAGCCCACGGAGUCCGAGAUCGCGCAAGAGGUGGCGGUUUUGUCACAAACCAAUAUCUACAGGCCGGGGAUCGAUGUCACACAGGCCGAGCUCCAGCCGCAUUUGACGUGGAGGAGGCAAGAGAAAACCGAGAUGGUGGGCUCGUGGAAGGCGAAGAUAUACGACAUGCAUCAUGUGACUGUCAGUGUCCGGUCGCGAAGGGUUCCAGGAGCCAUGACAGACGAGGAGCUGUUCGCUUCAGAAGAGGCCGAGGGAGAGGACGACGAAGACUACACCGAUCUUCUAACCGAGGAGGAGAAGCAGCAACUGGACUCGGCGCUCAAGGCCGAGAAUGGCGAGUUUAUCGAGAAGGGAUUUGACAAGGGUGGCAAGGACAACAGCAAGCUUCGCAGGCGCUUGGAGAACGGGGGGGAUGAUAUUAUAUUGGACGGAUUGCUCGACGAUGAUAUGAGCGUAGGUGGUGCUUCGUCUGGCUCGGAUAUCCACAGGGAGGACAGGAAGAGCUGGUUUAGCUGGGGGAAGAAGAGCGUCAAGCAUGAAAACGCAAAGAAGGUGGAGCCGGCAAGGAAGUCUCUCAGCGUAGAAGUAGAGCGGGGUGGCAGGAAUAACAGCAGAGGUCUUUCGACAGGCGACCAUCGAAUUAUAGAGCGGAGGACACAUUCGAGCUCAAGAAGGGAUACAUGGACAAGCCUGCCAGGAAGAGCGUAAGCAGGGAGUCGAUUCACAAGCCUGGAAAGGCUGGCGCUGAAAACGAGUACCAGAAGGGAUUGAGGCCGGUGCUGUGGCUCACGCCGGAUUUUCCUCUGAGCACUGAGGAGUUUGUGCCGCUGCUGGACAUCCUGUCCAACAAAGUGAAAGCGAUUCGGAGGCUACGUGAGCUCUUGACAACCAAGCUACCGACUGGAACGUUUCCAGUCAAGGUAAGUUUAUUUUCUUUUCUCGUUUCUCCAGUUCUUCGGUGACCAAACUUUGUUUGUUUUUUGCUUCGUCUCAGCUGGCCAUACCAGUAGUGCCCACCAUCAGAGUCGUCGUGACUUUCACUCGCUUUGACGAGAUCCGCGCGCCGUCGGAGGAGUUUUCCACGCCACUCUCGAGUCCUCGCCACUUCCAAGACGCAAAAGCCAAGGAGGGCGAUGCUCCGCAAGCACAGGCAUCAUCGGCGAGUUCAUGGUUUUCGUGGAUGCGACCUCACAGCCAGGCAAGCUCGUCGGCGGUGUCGGACGAUCACGGGCCCGACUUGGUGGAUCCGUUUCUCAUCCCCAGUGACUACACCUGGGUGGACGUGAACGAGAAGAAGCGGCGAGCCAAGGACAAGAAAUCGAAGAGCAAGAAGAAUAAGAAGCCUCCUCCAGCGCAGGGAGAGACAACGAAGGGCUAGUCUGCUUGCUAGCUCUCACAAGUUACAACAAACAAAGGCUUUUGGAUUUAUUUUUUGUAGGCGAUUUACCACACGAAAUGAAAUUCUUGUGUUCUUUCUUCACUUGUUGUAUAGGGUGGAACCAUACGAAUUAGCAGCGAUGAUGAUCAGGAGCGUGAUAUAAGUGCCCCUCAGAGGAAUUUUGAUCAGCUUUUUCACGUAGGAACCAACGAGGAUUAGAAUGCCGACGAGAAAACACGCACCCAUGGUCGACCACGAUGCCUUCGCUUCGCUAAAGUCGUAGGCAACAUAGAAGAAGCUGAAAAAGAGUGGUGUCAUCAUCACGGACAAGCUCGUAAAGAAGAUCAUCGACAUAGAGAGCAUGAGCUUUUUGGCCUCUAGAGCUUUUCCCUGAUCGUUAUCAAGAAAUGCUAUUAGACACCCUGCCAAUCCAAAUGCCGAGAUGAUUGAAGCGAGAAGAAAGUGGAAGCAACGCCCCUUUUCCACUGGUGUGGCAUCCUUUUUGAUGAGGGAGAUCCCUGACUGGAGGCAUGUCGAAGCCACAAAAGUGAAAGGCGUAAUCAGCAAUUUGGCAAACUUCAAUGCUUCUUUGUUGGGGGCAGCAUUAGCUUCUGCAAUCUUUCCCGCUUCUUCCAUUAAACUCAAAGUCCUUCCCCUGCAAGCUGCCGAUUUUGUUGAGCGGGAUGAUGAAGUGCUAAUCUGGAUCACAUGGCCUUGAUCGACCAGCAAAACACAUUAUAUAUUCUUUAGAUUCCGUGGAAUGCCUUGAAUCGGUAUUUGCCGCACGAUAAGCGACUUGCCACGACUUGCCACAAAUAAUCAUAUGUAUACGUUUCUUUGUUUUUUUCUUACAAGUCAAACUGAUUCUGGCAUUUUGCUACAUGAAUAGCAUUAAGGGAAACAAAUCGCUGCAAACCGGCAAGUGUCACUUGAUUUUACAUCCAAUAACCUACAAACAGUUUCUUUUUGUCUUGUUCUUACAUAAUCUUGCAAAUCAAGUUCCUGGUAAACAGCUCGCUGGUGUUGUUCACGAUCCAGGGGUGACCAAGCACUUGCUCCACUGUCAGCCUCCGGCUCGGAUAAACCUCCAACAUCCCCAUGAUCAAAUCCUUUGCCUCGCUCGACACAUCACUCCAAUCCAAUGCAAACUCCACAUUGUCCACGCUUUUCAGCAAUAACUCCACAUAAUCAGAGUGGUAUUCAGGGAACGCCACCCUUCCGCUAAGGAGCUCAUAUAGAAUGAGUCCGAGCCCCCAAACGUCCACCGCUUGAGUGUAGUAUUUCGGCCAUCCGCCCUCACCAGCCCUGAGAACGUCUGGCGACAUAUACCCAGGGGUGCCACAAAGGUGGUGCAUCUCGUCGGCCCGGUCAGUUGCAACCCCAAAGUCAGACAGCUUCACCUCGUAAGGUUGCGCUGGAUGCGUCAGCAAAACGUUUUCCAGCUUCAUAUCCCUGUGCACCACCCCAAGGUUGUGCAUCUCCCUCAGCGUCUCGGCCAGGCUCUUGGUCACAAACGCCGCCUCGUCAUCCGCCAGCCUCCCCACCAUCUUGAGCCUGUCCCGGAGAGUGCACGAGCAGAGCUCCAAGAUUAGGGAUCCCCACCAGCGGCCCUUGCGCUCCUCCUCGACCAUGUCGUAGAUCUCUAGUGUACCAUGGCAGCCAUUGAGUUUGAGCAUGAUUUCCUUCUCUCUCUCACCCGACCUCUCGAAGCUCUUAGCCGCUAGCAACUUACCACCCAUUCUAAAGCUUACAAGGUGUACAGUGCCUUGCCCUCCCUUUCCAAGCUCAAAACCCACAUCGUACAUCUUCCUCAACGACGACAGCUCCUCGCUCACAACCAACUCACCAGUCUCGACCGCUCUCCACACAGUCAUGGCGAGAUUAAACAACGAUUGUUAGCGUGACCUAAAGGGAACUGCCUUUAAGUCUUGAUCAAACCAGAUUGAGUUAUGAUCAAGACUUGCAGACCUUUGCGGUGAAUUCCACGACAUAGAGAUUGUUUCCUUUGCUCGUUUCUUUCGCUGUGCCCGUGGCUCCUUCAAAUCUUCCGGUGCCACCAACGAUGGCGAAAAGAGCUUGAGAUCCAGCGGUCGAGCUCCCGGCCUCGCCUUGAAACUCGAGGCUGCUACCAUCAGCAAAGGAGCAAUGCGAGGACUGGAAGCUCCCCAGGCCGGUGUUUGCGAGGAUUCCCAUGUAUGUCCCCAUGGAUAACCUGGUAUAGCCCUUGGUGGAGACCGAGAAUGGGGCUGCGAAUGUCUGCAUUGAUCCGGGUCUACCAGCGUUGUCUUUGGGAAGAACGUAGAACUUGUUUUGGUUGAUCCCCGUGUCCUUCUUUACAUUAGUUAUGGAGAUGUUCCAGCGCACAAUUUGCUCUGGAAGGAUUGCCAGAAAACUUCUGGAAGCGUGGAUGCUCGUGUCGCAGUUAUUCCAAUGGUCCAGGUGCCUAUAUGUUUUUUUUUUUCUGUUCUUUAGUUCUCCAACUUUUCUAUUCGAGUUUCUCUACUGUUUCAGGAAGCUCGGGGUUUGGACGCUGGGCCGAGGCUGGUGGAAAGACUGAAGCAGCUCGGUGAUGAUAGAAGUGCCAAGAUUGUGGAACAAAUCUCUCAGGAAGAGCUUGCGCAUGUCGCUGUUGGUGUCUCGUGGUUCCUGGAUGUUUGCAGGAGACUAGAGUGCGAUCCAGCCGCGAGGUUUAAAGGUGGAUAAACUAGUACAGAUCUUUUCUUCGAUUUCGUGUCUGAUCUCUUCCUUGCUUUCCUUGUUGCGAAUGUCUGCAUUGAUCCGGGUCUACCAGCGUUGUCUUUGGGAAGAACGUAGAACUCGUUUUGGUUGAUCCCCGUGUCCGUAAACAGGGACUGGCCUUGGAAGGUGUAGGUCUUGCACUGUUUCACAAGAUCCAGAUGGUAGAAAUUCUUAAGAUCUUGACUAGCAAUGCAAAGCAUGGAUAAGAAAAUGGAGUCUAUACCUUGGAGGACGAUGUUGAUGUCGCUAAUGCCAGGAUGAUCAAGAAGAUCCCAAUUCCAGAGGAGGCCAUUUGCCCCAAUGUGUAGAAUGCUCUAGCCUAGCACUCUCCAUAUCAUAGAUAAAUAGAUAGAUACCAGAGUACACGUGAAAUACGUGAGCGCAUCGAUCCAUUAACGCUGGGCCGAGGCUGAAGAAGGUCGGUGACGACGAGAUUGUGGAACAAAACUUGGCAGGAAGAGCUCGUCGUUGUUUUCUCGUGGUUCUUGGAUGUUUGUAGGAGACUAGAGUACGAUCCAGCUGCGAGGUUUAAAGGUAGAUAAAGAUAACUAGUAUUGCUCGUGUCUGAUGUCAUUCCUGUUUUUUUUCCUUUAUAUGGGAAUUCAAUUUUUUGUAGUCCACACAUUUUUUGAUAUGCCCUGUGUGGUGCAGCUGGGACUAUAUAUGGAAUGCACAGUUCUAUACUUGAGAGACUGAACAAAUUAUCCUCGACUGUUGUGUGCGUUCUGCUUCAAUUUUUUUACGUUUAAGUUCAUGGCAGAAGGGGCAACGGUUGCUAAUUCUAAUGAGGCUAACGGGAAAGAAUCAUUGAAGCUGGCCAAAUUGCUGAUUACACCUUUCACUUUUGUGGCUUCCACAUGUCUCCAGUCGGGAAUCUCCCUCAUCGACCACAGUGCAACGCCCGCGCAGAAGGGGCGUUGUUUCCACCUCUUUAUGGCUGCAACCAUCUCCGUAUUUGGAAUGGCAGGGUGUAUGAUAGCAAUUGUUGAUAACAAGGAAAGAAAUGCUCAGGAGCUCGACAAUCUCAUGUCCUCUCUUUCGAUGAUCUUGUUUGUGAGCUUGUCUACGAUGCUGGUGCCACUCCUCUUCAGCCUCCUGUAUGUUGUCUAUGACAUCAGCGCAACGAAGGCAUCGUGGUCAAUAAUGGGUGCGUCUUUAGUUUUAAUCGUUGGUUACUACGUGAAAAAGCUGUUCCAAGGGAUGAGGAUUCCUCUGAGAGCCACUCCUGUCAUUUUAUUUAUCAGCUUUGCUGCUAAUACGUAUGGGUACACUUUAUAUAGAUAAAAGAGGAGCCAUUGGCACCUGUGCUUUAUAUAAAAAUAUUUUAAAACGUAUAUUUUAAUUUUUGUGACUGUUGCAUUCGCACUUCAGUAGUUUUUAAGUUGUUUUAAGCUUU